GAUUUAAAGCCUUCAAUACAUGACAAAAUUAGCAUUCAAAUGGUGAUGAGUGUUCAAAAAGUUAGAAACGUAGCCUUGAAAGUUAAGAUAGUGAUGAAGCAAGAGCCUUUUAAAAAGUAUGGAGAUAAUAAAUUUGCAGUCGAAAAGGAAAAAGGGAAAAUAACACAAGGAUCCCUAGUUCAAGUGGCACGAAUGUAGAGAAGAGCAACAUCAAAGCACCAACAGUUGAAGGUAGCAGAGGUACCAAUUUUGAUGUACCUAAAGCUUCUAAUUCUUAUGCAAAACCUAUAGCUAUUAAGUGCUAUAGGUUCAAUAAGAUUGGGCAUCGUUCCAAUAAAUGCUGAAAGAGGAAAUUGGUUAAUGUAGUGGAAAGGGAGAUUGAAGAUGAGGAAGAAGAGUUUUAUGGACCUUAUGGGAAUGAUGUUGAGGAAGAA
rnacentral:misc_RNA from 1 species